GCACUUCUAGCUCAAUUGGUAGAGCAGCGGUCUCCAAAGCCGCCGGUUCCAGGUUCAAGUCCUGGGGAGUGUGC
rnacentral:tRNA from 4 species